UACGUAGGGUGCAAGCGUUAAUCGGAAUUACUGGGCGUAAAGCGUGCGCAGGCGGUUUUGUAAGUCUGUCGUGAGAGCCCCGGGCUCAACCUGGGAAUUGCGAUGGAGACUGCAAGGCUAGAAUCUGGCAGAGGGGGGUAGAAUUCCACGUGUAGCAGUGAAAUGCGUAGAGAUGUGGAGGAACACCGAUGGCGAAGGCAGCCCCCUGGGUCAAGAUUGACGCUCAUGCACGAAAGCGUGGGGAGCAAACAGG
rnacentral:rRNA from 1 species